rnacentral:tRNA from 1 species
UCAUCGAUGAUUCAGUGGUAGAACUCUUGCCUUAAAUGUGAGAGACCCAGGUUUGAUUCCUGGACAAUGCA